rnacentral:rRNA from 1 species
GAUGAACGCUGGCGGCGUGCCUAAUACAUGCAAGUCGAGCGAACAGACGAGGAGCUUGCUCCUCUGACGUUAGCGGCGGACAGGUGAGUAACACGUGGAUAACCUACCUAUAAGACUGGGAUAACUUCGGGAAACCGGAGCUAAUACCGGAUAAUAUAUUGAACCGCAUGGUUCAAUAGUGAAAGACGGUUUUGCUGUCACGUAUAGAUGGAUCCGCGCCGCAUUAGCUAGUUGGUAAGGUAACGGCUUACCAAGGCAACGAUGCGUAGCCGACCUGAGAGGGUGAUCGGCCACACUGGAACUGAGACACGGUCCAGACUCCUACGGGAGGCAGCAGUAGGGAAUCUUCCGCAAUGGGCGAAAGCCUGACGGAGCAACGCCGCGUGAGUGAUGAAGGUCUUCGGAUCGUAAAACUCUGUUAUUAGGGAAGAACAAAUGUGUAAGUAACUAUGCACGUCUUGACGGUACCUAAUCAGAAAGCCACGGCUAACUACGUG